AGUGAACGCUGGCGGUAGGCCUAACACAUGCAAGUCGAACGGCAGCACAGUAAGAGCUUGCUCUUACGGGUGGCGAGUGGCGGACGGGUGAGGAAUACAUCGGAAUCUACUUUUUCGUGGGGGAUAACGUAGGGAAACUUACGCUAAUACCGCAUACGACCUACGGGUGAAAGCAGGGGAUCUUCGGACCUUGCGCGAUUGAAUGAGCCGAUGUCGGAUUAGCUAGUUGGCGGGGUAAAGGCCCACCAAGGCGACGAUCUGUAGCUGGUCUGAGAGGAUGAUCAGCCACACUGGAACUGAGACACGGUCUAGACUCCUACGGGAGGCAGCAGUGGGGAAUAUUGGACAAUGGGCGCAAGCCUGAUCCAGCCAUACCGCGUGGGUGAAGAAGGCCUUCGGGUUGUAAAGCCCUUUUGUUGGGAAAGAAAAGCAGCAGGUUAAUACCCCGCUGUUCUGACGGUACCCAAAGAAUAAGCACCGGCUAACUUCGUG
rnacentral:rRNA from 1 species